ensembl:lncRNA
GCUGUGUUGAGAGGUUGUCUCUGUCUCAAUAAAAGUUCACUGAUUCCCCAUCUGCAGCAGGUGUCCGGUUGUCUUCAUUCUCCGCCAGCCUGGUUAAGUCAAUUCCUCCUUAACAUCUAAAAGAACCUAUUUAAUGAAGGAAGACGGGUUCACUUUGUGUUUAAUAUUAUUCUAUUGCUGUUGUUGUUGUUUUUUAUAUCCUUCAAUUGGCGUCACGAACAGGAUCCGCUCCAGGUCAACUGGAACGGAUGGGAGGACAUCGGCCGUGGUCUGAGUGAACGGAGUUUGGACAAAAGCUGUGUGCACACAAAAACAAGUGUCUUCAUACAGGUGUUUUUUCUUAACCUGGAAGCCUGAGUACGGCAGCAGAAGACAGGCCAAGCUUUGGCUAAAAUUCACGGCUGGACACCAGAGUUGUCCUCACCCCUCCCGGUAAAACAAAAAAGAGAGAAUGUAGUUUGAGGCAGGUUUUUCUCGCUGAACUGCUCUGGGUGCUGUGUCCCUGAAUCUCACCAGUGUUAACCUCUGGCGGAAGACAUGGAGAAAAGGAAAAGAUGUUCCUGGUAAAUCACUGAAACAAAUAAAACCACACACAACCAGAGAAAGAUAUGAGAAGGGUGAGGAACAGACACAUGUGCGUGUUAGAGAAAUGCCUCGUUUGAGAAAAAGUUAAAGUAACCCAUAUACAGACGCACCCAUACAUGCAAUGAAGAAACAGCUUACAUACAUGUGCACGUACAUGCAAGGUUAAAGUAGCGACACUUAACAUACACCUGUUUUUAAAUGAUAUAGUUUAUACAUUACUGACAAUUAAACGCUUUGGGUUGCAGGACAACAACGUAACGUCAAAAGACAAAGACACUGGUCUGAGGAUUAAGUGAGGACACGACAAAUUUAGUGGUUAAAAGGGUCGACUUGGGACAUGUUUUUGUUGAUUGUUUAAGACAAAUGACUACUGAAUGAUAGGAAAUUCCUUUUUAGGUUUCUAAACAGGAUCUUAAGAAUUUUAACACGUACCUGUGUUGUCCUGUCAACUUGAGGGGUUAUGAGUUGAUUAUAUGGUGAAAAAAAAAAAAAACAAAAACAAAGAAGGGGGGAGACGAGAUCUCGUUGUUUCUCCCCUCUCGGGAUAACACAGCCAACACAGCACAGCCAACACAACAUCAUUUUCCUGUUCGCCUGUUUUGUUUUGUUUUUGUUUUUUCUGAGAGCCGAAGCUGACCUGGACUCCUACCCUCCCCUCUACCAUCGUUGCCCUCUCCGCGACCAUCUUUGACCCUUUGACCCCUGAAGGCCACAGCAGCUGGACUCACAACAACAACUUGAGGAUGUCAACAGUGCUGCAAAAGAGUGAUCUCAUGCAGCAGAGACGGAGAGCACUAAACCUAACGCCCGUUUCACUACACGGGGGAAAUUCCCAGGCUGCGUCAGCUGACAGAGCUGUGACGAGACGCGCAUUAAGCCCGGAGGAAAAGGGACGGUGAGCAGAAGGAUGCUGACCUCUGAGAAGAGCCGAACAGCAGAGCUGCAGAAGGCCGUGGAGCAAAGUAAGGACAACAUAAACAGACUCCAAUCUGACGGGAGGACCCUAGGCCAUGCGUCAGGCCGCUGGUUUACCUAAACUACAGAACAGGAAGGUGAUGAACACAAACAUAUACCAACACACGAACACACACUUCUGCAUGCGCCUACUUAGAAUGAAGGGAAACACACACAUGAACACUUAUGCACUUGUUGAGGGAGUAAAAACUGAUACAUACCCAUGCACUAAAAUCAAAAUGUUGAUUUAAUUUACUAAGAAGUGACACACAAUGCUCCAGCUGCUGCAAUGAAGAAUGCUUUACUGACAAAGGCUCAAUGCUGCACACAACAAAGUCAAAUACAGAAUUUGCUAUAAUAAUAAGCCCAGAGGGCAUUUGUGUGGUCUGGGGAGCAGAGUCCGGAGCGGUUUGGUUAUGAAAAUGAUGCCCGUGCGAGAUAUCUGGGGCUUAAGGCCUCGACUUAAUUGUUUACUCUACACUAAAAAGAAAAGAAAACACUCUGAGCAGUGGUGCAGAGUGAAAACGAGGAAUUAACAGUGUGAGUUUUAUUUCAGAGCGCCACGUCAUUGUGAUGGAGAUUUAAUAAAGGAGGAACACACGGACAAAGAAGAAGAGAAGGGGGGGCAGCCCUUGAACGCGAUUGCCUGAGGCAUUAAAGUUCUGUACUAAAUUCUGGUUCCCAGUGUGAGAAAAGUCACGCAGUGCCAGUAGUAGAGCUAGGUUGAGUGAUGAUUCUAAAUUACUGUAAGUAAAUCAUCGUACACCGUUCAAGUUUCAUGAUAACGGGGAUCUAGACUUUGUUGAACCCUAGGCAAUUUGAACAGGUAAAAGUCGAGUGACCAAGUAGCAGUUGAAUAAAAGUCAUUGAAUAAGUGUUGA